UGGGGAAUAUUGGACAAUGGGCGAAAGCCUGAUCCAGCCAUGCCGCGUGUGUGAAGAAGGUCUUCGGAUUGUAAAGCACUUUAAGUUGGGAGGAAGGGCAGUAAGUUAAUACCUUGCUGUUUUGACGUUACCGACAGAAUAAGCACCGGCUAACUCUGUGCCAGCAGCCGCGGUAAUACAGAGGGUGCAAGCGUUAAUCGGAAUUACUGGGCGUAAAGCGCGCGUAGGUGGUUUGUUAAGUUGGAUGUGAAAGCCCCGGGCUCAACCUGGGAACUGCAUCCAAAACUGGCAAGCUAGAGUACGGUAGAGGGUGGUGGAAUUUCCUGUGUAGCGGUGAAAUGCGUAGAUAUAGGAAGGAACACCAGUGGCGAAGGCGACCACCUGGACUGAUACUGACACUGAGGCGCGAAAGCCAGGGGAGCAAACAGGAUUAGAUACCCUAGUAGUCCCUGAGCGGGCUGGCAAGGCGCAU
rnacentral:rRNA from 1 species